UUCUUCUGCCCCGGGUUCGAUUCCCGGGCAGCGCAGCGCUGCUGGUGUAGUGGUAACAUGGAAGAUUCCCA